rnacentral:rRNA from 1 species
GAAUAUUGGACAAUGGGCGCAAGCCUGAUCCAGCCAUACCGCGUGGGUGAAGAAGGCCUUCGGGUUGUAAAGCCCUUUUGUUGGGAAAGAAAAGCAGUCGGCUAAUACCCGGUUGUUCUUACGGUACCCAAAGAAUCAGCCCCUGCUCACUUAGGUCCAGCCGCCGCGGUAAUACGAAGGGUGCAAGCGUUACUCGGAAUUACUGGGCGUAAAGCGUGCGUAGGUGGUUGUUUAAGUCUGUUGUGAAAGCCCUGGGCUCAACCUGGGAAUUGCAGUGGAUACUGGGCGACUAGAGUGUGGUAGAGGGUAGUGGAAUUCCCGGUGUAGUAGUGAAAUGCGUAGAGAUCGGGAGGAACAUCCAUGGCGAAGGCAGCUACCUGGACCAACACUGACACUGAGGCACGAAAGCGUGGGGAGCAAACAG